GCGGGAGUGGCGAAAUUGGUAGACGCACCAGAUUUAGGUUCUGGCGCCGUAAGGUGUGCGAGUUCAAAUCUCGCCUCCCGUA
rnacentral:tRNA from 1 species